CCUACGGGUGGCAGCAGUGAGGAAUAUUGGUCAAUGGGCGAGAGCCUGAACCAGCCAAGUCGCGUGAGGGAGUACUGCCCUAUGGGUUGUAAACCUCUUUUGUCGGGGAGCAAAAGCCGGACGUGUCCGGCUGUGAGCGUACCCGAAGAAAAAGCAUCGGCUAACUCCGUGCCAGCAGCCGCGGUAAGACGGGGGAUGCGAGCGUUAUCCGGAUUUAUUGGGGUUAAAGGGUGCGCAGGCGGAUUUUUAAGUCAGCGGUCAAAUCGUGGGGCUCAACCCCAUCCAGCCGUUGAAACUGGGGAUCUUGAGUGAGUGAGAAGUAUGCGGAAUGCGUGGUGUAGCGGUGAAAUGCAUAGAUAUCACGCAGAACUCCGAUGGCGAAGGCAGCAUACCGGCGCUCAACUGACGCUCAUGCACGAAAGUGUGGGUAUCGAACAGGAUUAGAUACCCGAGUAGUC
rnacentral:rRNA from 1 species